UACAGAGGGUGCGAGCGUUGUCCGGAAUCACUGGGCGUAAAGGGCGCGUAGGUGGCGCCGCAAGUCCAUGGUGAAAGCUCGAUGCUCAACAUCGAGUCGGCCACGGAGACGUGCGGGGCUCUAGCACUGUAGGGCAGAUGGAAUUCCGGGUGUAGCGGUGGAAUGCGUAGAGAUCCGGAAGAACACCGGUGGCGAAGGCGGGAUCCGUGGGCCAGUACUGACGCGUG
rnacentral:rRNA from 1 species